GACUCUCUUAAGGUAGCCAGGUGCCUCGUCAUCUAAUUAGUGACGCGUAUGAAUGGAUCAACAAGAUUCCUUCUGUCCCUAUCUACUAUCUAGCGAAACCACAGCCAAGGGAACGGGCUUGGCAAAAUCAGCGGGGAAAGAAGACCCUGUUGAGCUUGACUCUAGUCUGACUCUGUGAAGAGACAUGAAAGGUGUAGCAUAGGUGGGAGAUUGUCAAUUUGCCAUCGUUCACGCGAUGGUCCGGUGAUCGCCAAUGAAAUACCACUACUUUGAUCGUUUCUUUACUUAUUCGGUAAAGCGAAAAAAUUGUGGCCAAUUUGGCGGCGUUUAUGUCGCUGUUGGUCAUUGUUUUCAUGUUGGAUUGAAGCUUUGUUUACAGCCGUCGCUUUGUGUCUUCAUUUGGCGCAUUGUUGUACUGGGUUAUCCCAGUGUGUGAUGUGGUCACAAUGGAUGAUCGGCGAUAGGCUUGAAGUGAUUCGCUCCGGAAACAGUGUCAGACGGGGAGUUUGACUGGGGCGGUACAUCUGUUACAAACAGGUAGUGUACGCAAGCACGAUUGCUCGUCUUAUUGUCGUAAACCUCGCCUAGAAGUAAACGGGCACAAGCUUACUUGAGUUUGAUUUCCAGUAC
rnacentral:ncRNA from 1 species